rnacentral:SRP_RNA from 1 species
GCCAGGUGUGGUGGCACACACCUGUAGUCCCAGCUACUUAGGAGGCUGAGGUAGGAGGAUUGCUUGAGCCCAGGAGAUUGAGGCUGCAGUGAGCUGUGAUCGUGCCACUGCACUCCAGCCUGGGCAACAGAACAAGACCCUGUCUCAA